rnacentral:lncRNA from 9 species
GGCAGCCAGAAUAGAACCUGGGUUCUCCUUCCCCUGGCACUGCUGAUCAUGCUGGCUACCCUGCCACCAGGGCCAGAUUCUCCAAGCUGUGAUCAAGCACAUCUCGUCCUACGGCUCAUGGCUCACAGCACAGAUCUCUUUUAUCUACUGUUCUACUGUGUGUGGGGAGCGCUUCUCUCCUCUCUGCUGUCUCAGAGACAGAGGAAUCCCGGCACCUCCCUUUCCACUGCCCAUGCCUUCAAGCAGCACUGGUCAUUCUCGUGCAGAGAUGGAGGCCCCGAUGGGCAGCUUCGAAUCCGCGUUUGGUUCCUGCUGCCAGAGCCUAAAACCUCUAAACUGUGGCUCCGUUUCCCCCUCUCUCCGACCAUCCUCCUCUAACGAUGCACUGAAGCUCUAACCACAAUUCAGCAUUCUCCUCUCUUGUCCCUGGGGCUGCAGUCCCUGCAAACGUCCCUCUUGUCUGGCAGCAUGUGGCCUUGACCAAGGUUUCAGAGUUUGUCUGGUAGCCAGCUCUACAGCGACAGCUCCCGCUCCAGGAAAUCCUGUCUCUGAAGCUAAGGCUAGAAGGGGAGGCGUGGGACCCAAAUCAGCCAAGGGUAUCUGCCCCAGUCCGCCUCACCCCUUCCUGGAGACACUCUCGUUUCUUAGUAAGUCAUGUGUCCUUCAAGCCUGGAUUAAACACCAAUUUCCAGCCGGGGUGACACAAGGAAGUUUGUUGUUGUUGUUUUUAUAUCUGUCUCCUGAGCUCACUUCAUAGGAUGCGUGUCUCCAUUUGUCACGGACUGCUGUUUUCCCAUUCCUGGUAUCAGAAAUACCUUGACUUCCUUUAAGAGAUUUUUCCUGCCUGUGCUCUCAGUUCAAGGAGUUCCUGUGUGGCUCACCCCAUUCUCCUAACUCCAUGGUUGGGGAAAUAACCCAGCCAGUUCCAUGAGACUCAAUCCUGAUACUUUCCUCAGAACGGUUGGGAAAGUCAGCUCUUUCCAGCAGGGGUGAUAUUGGGAUGGUACUUUGGGGGGCCAUCUUGCCCCUCCAGGAGGGACAUAAACUGGGAGAGAAGCCCACACAAAAAAAGGACAGAGUGGUGAGAUGGCGAUAA